ensembl:lncRNA
AUCACAGUCUUUACUUGUGUUUUUUUUUUGUUGUUGUUGUUUUGUUUUUUAAUUAAAAAAAAAAAAGCUAUGUAUAAGGUUAUAGUUGGAAUAUAGGGUGCUGAACACUUGAAGGUCUAGACCAACUGUUUUGCUGUAGGUCGCAUAUGAAGACUGUCACAUUCUGUAACUUUGAGAUGAACAACAGAUGAAUAGAGGCAGUUGACUGUUUAUGUUUCGCAAAGCUGGGACAGAGAAAACUCUACAGCACAGCAGGAGGCAUUUGCAAGACAAAAAACAGGGAACAUUUAUUUCUAAAUCUUCACUUCUUGUCUUAGUCUAUGUCAUGUAGAAAACAUUAACGGGAAGUUCAGAGAGUUCAGGAAAGCAAGUUAUAAAAACUCUUUAAAAUAUUUUCUAUUCCUAUGGCCAAUAAAAAGGGAGAGGCUAGAAAAUUUUGCAAUCUUAAACCCCAGCUCCUUUCCCCCAUUUCAAUUUAAAAAGCAGCCUGUAACCUUUUGGAGGUAUUUUAGUGUUUUCUUUCUUCUACUUGCUUUCAUUAAUUCUCUAUUUUGUACUAGGCUUAUAGGAUUUUUUUUUUCCUGUUCUUUACAUGAGGCAGCUUCCAUGAUGGCCAUAAAGCUAAAAUUAUUUUUCCUAGUGAGUUACUUGUAAAAUCCAAAUACAGAUUAAAAUAAACACCAAUGACUAUGAGUUAAAAGCCAGUUCCAUAGCCCUAGACCAAGAAAAUGCAUAACAAUAGCCUAAUCUCAUUUCAGGAAAGAAUUUAAGUAUAUAACUUUUCUUAUCUUCAUAUAACUUUUCUUAUUUGUCUAAAUGUUGAACCAGAUGAACGUCACCCACAAAGGAUUAAGCUGCUAUUUACAUAGUAAAAAAGUAGGUGCUUUAUACCUAGGUCAGAUUCUUGGGAUGUAGUAUUCAGUAGUUUUCCACUUCUCAAAACAUAGAGGAGGUAUAAUUGGGAACAUAAAAGGCUAUUCCAUCUCAUCUCUGCAUUUGCUUGCAUAUGAAUAAAUAAAAGUGCAAAUAAAUCUGAUAUAAAAUUUCAUUUAUAUAAAAUAAAUUAUUAUUAUAAA